rnacentral:rRNA from 1 species
AUGAACGCUGGCGGCGUGCCUAAUACAUGCAAGUCGAGCGAACGGACGAGAAGCUUGCUUCUCUGAUGUUAGCGGCGGACGGGUGAGUAACACGUGGAUAACCUACCUAUAAGACUGGGAUAACUUCGGGAAACCGGAGCUAAUACCGGAUAAUAUUUUGAACCGCAUGGUUCAAAAGUGAAAGACGGUCUUGCUGUCACUUAUAGAUGGAUCCGCGCUGCAUUAGCUAGUUGGUAAGGUAACGGCUUACCAAGGCAACGAUGCAUAGCCGACCUGUGAGGGUGAUCGGCCACACUGGAACUGAGACACGGUCCAGACUCCUACGGGAGGCAGCAGUAGGGAAUCUUCCGCAAUGGGCGAAAGCCUGACGGAGCAACGCCGCGUGAGUGAUGAAGGUCUUCGGAUCGUAAAACUCUGUUAUUAGGGAAGAACAUAUGUGUAAGUAACUGUGCACAUCUUGACGGUACCUAAUCAGAAAGCCACGGCUAACUACGUG